GAUGAACGCUGGCGGCGUGCCUAAUACAUGCAAGUCGAGCGAACAGAUGAGGAUCUUGCUCCUCUGACGUUAGCGGCGGACGGGUGAGUAACACGUGGAUAACCUACCUAUAAGACUGGGAUAACUUCCGGAAACCGGUGCUAAUACCGGAUAAUAUAUUGAACCGCAUGGUUCAAUAGUGAAAGACGGUUUUGCUGUCACUUAUAGAUGUAUCCGCGCCGCAUUAGCUAGUUGGUAAGGUAACGGCUUACCAAGGCAACGAUGCGUAGCCGACCUGCGAGGGGGAUGGGCCACACUGGAACUGAGACACGGUCCAGACUCCGACGGGAGGCAGCAGUAGGGAAUCUUCCGCAAUGGGCGAAAGCUUGACGGAGCAACGCCGCGUGAGUGAUGAAGGUCUUCGGAUCGUAAAACUCUGUUAUUAGGGAAGAACAAAUGUGUAAGUAACUAUGCACGUCUUGACGGUACCUAAUGAGAAAGCCACGGCUAACUACGUG
rnacentral:rRNA from 1 species